GGGAAAAGUCAUUUGUAUGUGUCUGUGUGCAUUCGAACACUAGUGUGUAGGUGUGAAGUCCCUAAAUGUGUCUCUAUAUGUAAACAGUAUCAGUGUGCAUUUCACUCCUGAGUGCAGGUAUGUUUGUAGGAGAGAUUUGGAGAAGGCACGCCGCCAUUGAUCCAGGCAGCCAAGGGUCGCCACUGCAGGUCAGAGCAACUUGCACGCACACAUGGCAGAGCUGAAUGCCCUUCCUGACACCACCAUGAUUUGAACCCUAAUCCCCCGUUUCAAAGGCGCUGACUUUAAUUGCUAUUCCACAAAGAAAAAUCUGUCAAAUCUAUGACU